AUUGAACGCUGGCGGCAGGCCUAACACAUGCAAGUCGAACGAGUGGCGGACGGGUGAGUAAUGUCUGGGAAACUGCCUGAUGGAGGGGGAUCACUACUGGAAACGGUAGCUAAUAACGCAUACCAGCGGAUGUGCCCAGAUGGGUUGAGCUUGUGGGUGGGGUAAAGGCUCACCUAGGCGAGGAACCGUAGCUGGUCUGAGAGGAUGACCAGCCACACUGGAACUGAGACACGGUCCAGACGCCUACGGGAGGCAGCAGUGGGGAAUAUUGCACAAUGGGCGCAAGCCUGAUGCAGCCAUGCCGCGUGUAUGAAGAAGGCCUUCGGGUUGUAAAGUACUUUCAGCUGGGAGGCGUUACCCGCAGAAGAAGCACCGGCUAACUCCGUGCCAGCAGCCGCGGUAAUAC
rnacentral:rRNA from 1 species